AGAGUUUGAUCCUGGCUCAGGAUGAACGCUAGCGGCAGGCCUAAUACAUGCAAGUCGAACGGGGCAGUUCAGCAAUGGACUGUUCAGUGGCGCACGGGUGCGUAACGCGUAUGCAACCUACCUUAAACUGGGGGAUAGCCUUCCGAAAGGGAGAUUAAUACCGCAUAAGAUCAUUUGAUGGCAUCUGAAGAUGAUUAAAGAUUUAUUGGUUUAAGAUGGGCAUGCGUGCCAUUAGCUAGUUGGUAGUGUAACGGACUACCAAGGCGACGAUGGCUAGGGGUUCUGAGAGGAUGAUCCCCCACACUGGUACUGAGAUACGGACCAGACUCCUACGGGAGGCAGCAGUAGGGAAUAUUGGGCAAUGGACGGAAGUCCGACCCAGCCAUGCCGCGUGCAGGAAGAAGGCCUUCUGGGUUGUAAACUGCUUUUAUAUAGGAAGAAAACACCCAUGCGUGGGAACCUGACGGUACUAUAUGAAUAAGCACCGGCUAACUCCGUGCCAGCAGCCGCGGUAAUACGGAGGGUGCAAGCGUUGUCCGGAUUUAUUGGGUUUAAAGGGUGCGUAGGCGGCCCGUUAAGUCAGUGGUGAAAGCCUCCAGCUCAACUGGAGAACUGCCAUUGAUACUGACGGGCUUGAGUACAGACGAGGUUGGCGGAAUUGAUUGUGUAGCGGUGAAAUGCAUAGAUACAAUCAAGAACUCCGAUUGCGUAGGCAGCUAACUAGGCUGUAACUGACGCUGAGGCACGAAAGCGUGGGGAGCGAACAGGAUUAGAUACCCUGGUAGUCCACGCUGUAAACGAUGAUUACUCGAUGUCGGCGAUAAACUGUCGGCGUCUUAGCGAAAGCGUUAAGUAAUCCACCUGGGGAGUACGCCCGCAAGGGUGAAACUCAAAGGAAUUGACGGGGGCCCGCACAAGCGGUGGAGCAUGUGGUUUAAUUCGAUGAUACGCGAGGAACCUUACCUAGGCUAGAAUGCGCGUGACCGACUCAGAGAUGAGUCUUUCCUUCGGGACACAAAGCAAGGUGCUGCAUGGCCGUCGUCAGCUCGUGCCGUGAGGUGUUGGGUUAAGUCCCGCAACGAGCGCAACCCCUAUCUUUAGUUGCCAGCACAUAAUGGUGGGGACUCUAAAGAGACUGCCUGCGCAAGCAGUGAGGAAGGUGGGGAUGACGUCAGGUCAUCGUGGCCCUUACGCCUAGGGCUACACACGUGCUACAAUGGGCGGUACAAAGGGUUGCUACCUGGUGACAGGAUGCCAAUCUCAAAAAGCCGCUCUCAGUUCGGAUCGAAGUCUGCAACUCGACUUCGUGAAGCUGGAAUCGCUAGUAAUCGCGUAUCAGCAUGACGCGGUGAAUACGUUCCCGGGCCUUGUACACACCGCCCGUCAAGCCAUGGAAGUCAGGGAGACCUGAAGACGGUGCCCGUUAAAGGAGCCGUUUAGGGUAAAACUGGUAACUGGGGCUAAGUCGUAACAAGGUA
rnacentral:rRNA from 1 species